rnacentral:rRNA from 1 species
GAUGAACGCUGGCGGCGUGCCUAAUACAUGCAAGUCGAGCGAACAGACGAUGAGCUUGCUCCUCUGACGUUAGCGGCGGACGGGUGAGUAACACGUGGAUAACCUACCUCUAAUACUGGGAUAACUUCGGGAAACCGGAGCUAAUACCGGAUAAUAUAUUGAACCGCAUGGUUCAAUAGUGAAAGACGGUUUUGCUGUCACUUAUAGAUGGAUCCGCGCCGCAUUAGCUAGUUGGUAAGGUAACGGCUUACCAAGGCGACGAUGCGUAGCCGACCUGAGAGGGUGAUCGGCCACACUGGAACUGAGACACGGUCCAGACUCCUACGGGAGGCAGCAGUAGGGAAUCUUCCGCAAUGGGCGAAAGCCUGACGGAGCAACGCCGCGUGAGUGAUGAAGGUCUUCGGAUCGUAAAACUCUGUUAUUAGGGAAGAACAAAUGUGUAAGUAACUAUGCACGUCUUGACGGUACCUAAUCAGAAAGCCACGGCUAACUACGUG